rnacentral:rRNA from 1 species
AACGAACGCUGGCGGCAGGCUUAACACAUGCAAGUCGAGCGCACCGCAAGGUGAGCGGCAGACGGGUGAGUAACGCGUGGGAAUCUACCGAGCCCUAAGGAAUAGCUCCGGGAAACUGGAAUUAAUACCUUAUACGCCCUUUGGGGGAAAGAUUUAUCGGGUUUGAUGAGCCCGCGUUGGAUUAGCUAGUUGGGGGGGUAAAGGCCUACCAAGGGGACGAUCCAUAGCUGGUCUGAGAGGAUGAUCAGCCACAUUGGGACUGAGACACGGCCCAAACUCCUACGGGAGGCAGCAGUGGGGAAUAUUGGACAAUGGGCGCAAGCCUGAUCCAGCCAUGCCGCGUGAGUGAUGAAGGCCCUAGGGUUGUAAAGCUCUUUCACCGGUGAAGAUAAUGACGGUAACCGGAGAAGAAGCCCCGGCUAACUUCGUGCCAGCAGCCGCCGUAACAC